GACGAACGCUGGCGGCGUGCCUAAUACAUGCAAGUAGAACGCUGAAGGAGGAGCUUGCUUCUCUGGAUGAGUUGCGAACGGGUGAGUAACGCGUAGGUAACCUGCCUGGUAGCGGGGGAUAACUAUUGGAAACGAUAGCUAAUACCGCAUAAUAGCAGUUGUUGCAUGACAACUGUUUGAAAGGUGCAAUUGCACCACUACCAGAUGGACCUGCGUUGUAUUAGCUAGUUGGUGGGGUAACGGCUCACCAAGGCGACGAUACAUAGCCGACCUGAGAGGGUGAUAGGCCACACUGGGACUGAGACACGGCCCAGACUCCUACGGGAGGAAGCAGUAGGGAAUCUUCGGCAAUGGACGGAAGUCUGACCGAGCAACGCCGCGUGAGUGAAGAAGGUUGUCGGAUCGUAAAGCUCUGUUGUAAGAGAAGAACGAGUGUGAGAGUGGAAAGUUCACACUGUGACGGUAUCUGACCAGAAAGGGACGGCUAACUACGUG
rnacentral:rRNA from 1 species